GACGAACGCUGGCGGCGUGCUUAACACAUGCAAGUCGAGCGAUGAAGCUCCUUCGGGAGUGGAUUAGCGGCGGACGGGUGAGUGACACGUGGGUAACCUGCCUCAUAGAGGGGAAUAGCCUUCCGAAAGGAAGAUUAAUACCGCAUAAGAUUGUAGUACCGCAUGGUAUAGCAAUUAAAGGAGUAAUCCGCUAUGAGACGGACCCGCGUCGCAUUAGCUAGUUGGUGAGGUAACGGCUCACCAAGGCGAUGAUGCGUAGCCGACCUGCGAGGGUGAUCGGCCACAUUGGGACUGAGACACGGCCCAGACUCCUACGGGGGGCAGCAGUGGGGAAUAUUGCACAAUGGGGGAAACCCUGAUGCAGCAACGCCGCGUGAGUGAUGACGGUCUUCGGAUUGUAAAACUCUGUCUUCAGGGACGAUAAUGACGGUACCUGAGGAGGAAGCCACGGCUAACUACGUGCCAGCAGCCGCAGUAA
rnacentral:rRNA from 1 species